rnacentral:rRNA from 1 species
UACAGAGGGUGCAAGCGUUGUUCGGAAUUAUUGGGCGUAAAGCGCGUGUAGGCGGCUUUGCAAGUCGGGUGUGAAACGCCCUCAGCUUAACUGAGGAAGUGCGCCCGAAACUGCUUAGCUUGAGUGCCGGAGAGGAUGGCGGAAUUCCCCAAGUAGAGGUGAAAUUCGUAGAUAUGGGGAGGAACACCGGUGGCGAAGGCGGCCAUCUGGACGGUAACUGGACGCUGAGACGGCGAAAAGCGUGGGUAGCAAACAGG